CGCCGCCCGACGCCUUCUCGCACGCAAGGAGGCGCUGCUCCUCGCCUUGCCCCGGCGCAGGGAACUCCGCUCUCCAGAUUAAACCAUGAACUGCACGAAGAAACUGUGGGCAAAGAAAGCAGCAGAACUGUUCACAAGAAAUCUCUUGAAUACUGAUGACGAUGCGUAUCCAGAUGCAUGUCCACGUGAGCCGAGAGGUGGAUGAGGCUGGAUAAAGUACUGACUACAAUGGGCACUGGAGUAAUUGGAGAAAUACGGCACAAAGGAUGAGGCCCUGCUUCGUCAACAGUUCCAGCAACGCUAAGAGAGGCCAGUCUUGGGACCACGAGGAGCCGGUCUCACCCCAGAGCUGUCACAGGACGAACAACUGUGAGCCCCCAAACAUCACACAACACUGCUCAGUCGUAUUACCAGAGAAAGUAAAAAGACGUCCUUCGAAAAUGGGUAUGUGAAACUCUGCAGAUGUCUUCCCAGUUACAUGUGGAGAUUUCACAGUCUGUAUCUGUAAUGUUCAAAAAUAAUCGAAGUUUCAAGAACGGGAGAACUUUCAAUAGUUGAUGACAGUACCAGAAGAAGUGAGAAAGAGAAUUGCCGUGAAGGACAUCAA